UAGCUAAUGAACAUACACAGUUAAGUUCCCCUGAUGGUCAGGACCAAGGAAAGGCCACUUUUUACUCACGAUUUCUGCAGCCCACAGAGUGUCGCACAACUGGUGCAGCGACAUACUAAGGAUGGUUUUCUCACCCCGGAAGCGGUGCCUGAGCGCAGGGACCCUGGCUGUGGGUGUUUUCUGCGUCAGUUGAGACGCCCUCUGCUGGCCGUUACUGAGUGGGAACGAAGCUGUGCGCGCACCCUCUCGGGGCGGUCUAGCGGAAUCAAGCAGGUUCUUGAGACCUGCUUCUUCGCUGUUGGCAAAGGGAAGCUCGCCUCCUACUGUUCCGGCUCGUUUCUGCGACCAGCCUUUGAUCACAGCUAUAGUAAAUGAAUGCACAGAGGAGCGCGCGGCCAAUCCCUCGCCGCGAGACACGGCUUCGUUUGCCGUUUCACCAACGGCCAGCAGACGGCGCCCGACUCUCCUUGGGAUCAACUGGCGUCUCAACAGUUGAGGGAAACUCGUGCUCAGCAAUGCUUACACCACCCUCCCAUGGCGCUUAGCAGACAACAAGGAUGUGCUGGUGUCAGAAGCCUCACUGGGAUGGUGGUGAGUCGCUCAUCUGGGCUGAGCAGUGGUCCAGACCGAGGCAGAGGAACUGCCCUUGUUACAGAGGGCGGGCCCACCUGGAAUGCGAGCUGUGACUGUCUCCUAAGGUCUCUCCAGGCUGCAUCCAGAUGGAAAAUCCCAGGGGCGCCCCCACCUUGAAGGCCAGUCGCUGGCAGCAAGGAUGGGCUCCCGCAGGAUGUCACGAAGAGCAGUGUUAGGGAGGGCACGGGGUCCUCUGGCCUGAAGACCUCCCUGCAGGCACUGACUUUAUGCUCCGAGGAAGGAACCGAGGGCACCUGUCCAGGAUGGAGCCCUGUCCUCCGUGUCCUUAUCUCCCACCAGCAAGGAAAUUGGCCGCCCAGAACCUUGCUCUGUCUCUCCACCUCAUUUUCCCAAGUGCGGUGGGACUGCAAGGGGAACGUCUUCACCACUGACAGCUCGGGGUCCUUUUGCCCUGUGAUCAGGCCAUCCAGCCAGUGUGAAGAUUGUGUGGGGCAGGAGUCCCUCCCUGAAGGUACACUGUCAGUGGGGAGACCUCAUCCUCAAGAUCAAGAUAAGCCCCAGAUGAUACAGGUACUUCCUUGGACCCUGGCCUGAUUCUAGGACCUGAGCCGUUAGCCCAGGACCCAGCGAUGCAUCUGAGCUGCACUGGAUCUUGUUCCUGUUGCGGACAGCCUUGUGGGGCGGGGAUGGCUGGGAGACGAGCCCUGGGCACAGGUCUAAUGCUGUGUCCCCAGCUCUGAGGGAAGUCCCCACUAGUGGCUGGAAGAUCACCCGAUCUUUGUGGGGGCAGGUUGAGAUCUUUGUGAAGCUGCCAGUGUACCGCGUUUCUCCCCUCUCCGUCUUGCUAAAAAGAGUCUCCUGCCCCCUUGUAGGGAGAGG
rnacentral:lncRNA from 1 species